CUGGCACACUUGGGAAAUGUUAUCUCAAAAAAAAAAAAAAAGAAAAGAAAAUGUUAUCUCAGCAUCUAGCAUUGGUUUUAUUUUAGCUUUCAACUUCCCUGUUUAUUUUAUCCUUUUGGAGUAGGGGAGUUAGGGUUACAAAUUUUGUGUUUUCCCUGCAUUACUGGUUGUUAUCAAAUGGUUUACAGGUCAAGAUUCCUAGAUGUGUCAGGGACUUUAUCCCAGAAAUACUGACAACUAUUGAUAUAGUUUUAGAUUGAUUGCUGCAUUAAUACAUGUCUUGGGGUAAAUGAAUGGUGCACAAUACCUUUAGUCUUAAUAUGACCAUUGGUUUAAUUUGGUAGAGUUAGGACGAGGCUAUGCAUUGCUUCAUUAACCCAUCUUUGACUUCCCAGUAGAAUUUCUCCCUUUUAGAGUUAUCUUAUAUUGCCAUACUCUUAUUGUCCUUAGAACAACAAUAACAAACCCUCAAAAGUCACUGGGCUCAUCCAGGUGUUCCUUUAUUUUCAAAACUUUGACCCAGCCUCUCCUGACAGUGAAUGUUUUCAAACACUCACCAUUUGAAAAGGAGCAGGGAGUGGAAGGUACUUGUGUAUCGUGUGGCUUUUGAAAGUAGCCCUCAUUAUUAACUCAUGCCUCUGCCUGUUGAUUGGUUGUUAACUGUUUACGUUAUGGACUGAGGUCAGAGUGUCUGCUGUGAACAUUUGGGAGUAAGUCUUCUCUCCUCGCAGGUGAAGUUUAUAAGUCCUCCAUAAAAUGCACAGGGAUCUCAAAAGGAACAAAUGUAGCUAAGCCUGAUGCAACCGCUUUAUUGCUGCCUUGGAAGUAUGUACUUUGCAUCUGUGAAGUGUUCUUAGACUUUAGAGACAAAUGUUUUUUAAAAAGACCACAAAAACUUCCGGGGCAGAUGUAUUUUGGAAUUCAGGACUUUUUUGGAUUUUAGCAGGGUCUGAUGUGGCACUUUUUAAUCAAACGCACUAGGAUUUCUGCAGUGAAACACGAAUACUCACAUGAAGUGGGAUAAAAAUGACAAUAACCUCAUAACAGUUCAGGUAAUCCUUCCAACAGUCCUAUGCCUAGAAAAUACAAACACCAUUUUCAGAUGAGGAAACAGGUUCACAGAAGUCAAAAGACUUGCCAACCAGGUCACACAACUCGUAAGUAGCUCCGACUUUAACCCCAGUUGAUCUGAUUCCAAAAAGCCUUUGGUUGUCUGCUAUGCUUUACUGCCUGUUGGCACAAACGGGCCUUGAAUAUCUGAGAAAAACUACAGUCUGGGAGCUCCUCACCUGCGUGUGUCUCUCUUGUUUCACCAAAGCCCAGACUCUAUAGAUCAUUUGUUGUUACCUUGAGCAUAAGAAAACACAUGAAGUGGUAAUAAGCACAUGUUUAUAGAUAGGUGGAUAGCUAGAUAGCUAGAUAGCUAGAUAUAACUUGUCAUAUACCUGAAUCAAAUUGUAGAAAAUAACGUGUUAGUUCCAGGUGUACAG